ACCCUGGCAGUGGCGGACGGGUGAGUAACGCGUAGGAAUCUAUCCUUGGUGGGGGACGAACCGUGGGAAACUACGGCUAAUACCGCAUGAUCCCUGAGGGGCAAAGGCGAAAGUCGCCUGAGGAGGAGCCUGCGUCUGAUUAGGUAGUUGGUGGGGUAAAGGCCUACCAAGCCUGCGAUCAGUAGCUGGUCUGAGAGGAUGAUCAGCCACACUGGGACUGAGACACGGCCCAGACUCCUACGGGAGGCAGCAGUGGGGAAUAUUGGACAAUGGGCGCAAGCCUGAUCCAGCAAUGCCGCGUGGAUGAAGAAGGUCUUCGGAUUGUAAAGUCCUUUUGGCGGGGACGAUGAUGACGGUACCCGCAGAAUAAGCUCCGGCUAACUUCGUG
rnacentral:rRNA from 1 species